rnacentral:rRNA from 1 species
GAGUUUGAUCCUGGCUCAGGAUGAACGCUAGCGGCGGGCCUAAUACAUGCAAGUCGAACGAGUGGCAACACUAGUGGCGCACGGGUGCGUAACGCGUAGGCAACCUACCUUUUACUGGGGGAUAACGAUGGGAAACCAUCGCUAAUACCGCAUAAGACAGUAGCCUGGCAUCAGGCAGUUGUUAAAGAUUUAUUGGUAAAAGAUGGGCCUGCGUCUGAUUAGCUAGUUGGUAGUGUAACGGACUACCAAGGCGAUGAUCAGCAGGGGUUCUGAGAGGAAGAUCCCCCACACUGGCACUGAGAUACGGGCCAGACUCCUACGGGAGGCAGCAGUAGGGAAUAUUGGGCAAUGGUGGCAACACCGACCCAGCCACGCCGCGUGCAGGAAGAAGGCGCCCAGCGUUGUAAACUGCUUUUGCCCGGGAAGAAAAACCACUACGUGUAGUGAGAUUGACGGUACCGGGUGAAUAAGCACCGGCUAACUCCGUGCCAGCAGCCGCGGUAAUACGGAGGGUGCAAGCGUUGUCCGGAUUUAUUGGGUUUAAAGGGUGCGUAGGCGGCACUUUAAGUCCGGGGUGAAAGACGGCCGCUCAACGGUCGCAGUGCCCUGGAUACUGAGGAGCUAUGAGUACAGGCGAGGCUGGUGGAACGGGUGGUGUAGCGGUGAAAUGCAUAGAUACCAUCCAGAACACCGAUUGCGAAGGCAGCCAGCUAGACUGUUACUGACGCUGAGGCACGAAAGCGCGGGGAGCAA